ACUGCGAGUGAAGCGGGAAGAGCUCAAAUUUGAAAUCUGGCGGCCCCGCCGUCCGAGUUGUAUUCUGGAGAAGCGUUUUCCGUGCCGGACCGUGUACAAGUCCCUUGGAACAGGGCGUCGCAGAGGGUGAGAAUCCCGUCUUUGACACGGACCCCCGGCGCGGUGCGAUGCGCUCUCGAAGAGUCGAGUUGUUUGGGAAUGCAGCUCAAAACGGGUGGUAAAUUCCAUCUAAAGCUAAAUAUUGGCGAGAGACCGAUAGCGAACAAGUACCGUGAGGGAAAGAUGAAAAGCACUUUGGAAAGAGAGUGAAACAGUACGUGAAAUUGUUGAAAGGGAAACGCUCAAAGUCAGUCGCGUCUGCCGGAACUCAGCCUCGCGCUCGUCCGCUUGGCGCACUUUCCGGUCUGACGGGCCAGCAUCGGUUUUGGGUGGCGGACACUGGCUUGGGGAAGGUGGCGGCUCCGGCCGCGUUACAGCCCCUCGUCGCGAACGUCGCCGGGGACCGAGGAAUCCGGGCGAAAGCCCUCGGGAUGCUGGCGUAAUGGCUUUGAACGACCCGUCUUGAAACACGGACCAAGGAGUGCUACGUGCUCGCGAGUGUUUGGGUGGAAAACCCGGACGCGCAACGAAAGUGAAAGUCGAUACCCCCUCAUGGGGUGCACCGACGCCCGAGCCUGAUGUUUUCGGACGGCCUCGCGGUGGAGCGAGCGCGUUGCGACCCGAAAGAUGGUGAACUAUUCCUGAGGAGGGCGAAGCCAGAGGAAACUCUGGUGGAGGCUCGUAGCGGUUCUGACGUGCAAAUCGAUCGCAGGACUUGGGUAUAGGGGCGAAAGACUAAUCGAACCAUCUAGUAGCUGGUUCCUGCCGAAGUUUCCCUCAGGAUAGCAGAAGCUCGUGUCAGAUUUAUGUGGUAAAGCGAAUGAUUAGAGGCCUUGGGGUUGAAACAACCUUAACCUAUUCUCAAACUUUAAAUAUGUAAGGACGAGCCGUCGCUCGAUUGGACCGCUCGACGAUUGAGAGCUUCUAGUGGGCCAUUUUUGGUAAGCAGAACUGGCGAUGCGGGAUGAACCGAUCGCGAGGUUAAGGUGCCGGAAUGCACGCUCAUCAGACACCACAAAAGGUGUUAGUUCAUCUAGACAGCAGGACGGUGGCCAUGGAAGUCGGAACCCGCUAAGGAGUGUGUAACAACUCACCUGCCGAAUGAACUAGCCCUGAAAAUGGAUGGCGCUCAAGCGUGCUACCCAUACCUCGCCGUCGGCGUUGAAGUGACGCGCCGACGAGUAGGCAGGCGUGGGGGUCUCGUGAAGAAGCCUAGGCAGCGAUGCUGGGUGAAACGGCCCCUAGUGCAGAUCUU
rnacentral:rRNA from 1 species